rnacentral:tRNA from 1 species
GGGUUGUUAGCUCAGCGGUAGAGUACUCGGCUUUUAACCGACUGGUCCUGGGUUCGAAUCCCAGACAACCCA